CUAGGCACGUGGGUGCCAAGUAGUCCCAGUUACUCUGGAGAUAGGUGGGAAGAUCGCUUGAGUCCAGAAGUUCUGGGCUGUAGUGCACUCUGCCCAUCAGGCGUCUGCACUAAGUUUGGCAUCAAUAUGGUGACCUCCUGGGAGUGGGGGACCACCAGGUUCCCUAAGGAGAGGUGAACCAGCCCAGGUUGGAAACAACAGGUCAAACCCCCCCUACAAAUAGUCAGGAGUGGUGCUUGUACCGGAGAUUCAAAUGCUAGUUCUCUUCCCACCUC
rnacentral:SRP_RNA from 1 species